rnacentral:lncRNA from 1 species
AGGGAACAGAGCCGUGAGAGGAGAAUGGAAAGCAGGAUAGGAAAGUCAUGGGGGUUUUUCCACGUAAACAAGAGAGGCUGCAGGUUGACAAAGCUCCUUACUCUAAUACACUCACCCAGGUCUAUGACAAAAGAGUACACCUGCCAAAAGAUAGAGACGGGAGGAGAUCUCUGCAGAAUGAUGGAAGAUCUCCAAACCCAGAAGGCUGGCCAGGAGUAAGAAGACUGAGCAGGGGUGCCUCUGUUGUCCCAGGCAGCAUAAGAUUUCUGGAAGCUACAGUACAAUUCUUGCCUGGAGCCAUCCUGCUGCUUCAGGGCAGGCUUUGAUUCCUGACUCAUUUGACUGAAAUCCUCUAUGCUGCCCUGUAGACUAUCCAGACACCACAUCCCAAUUAAAUCUGCAUUUAAAUUGAAUCUGC